AUCGGUGACAGGUGGUGCGAUGGUUGUCGUCAGCUCGUGUCGUGAGAUGUUGGGUUAAGUCCCGCAACGAGCCGCAACCCCUACGUUUAGUUGCUAACGCGUGAAGGCGAGCACUCUAGACGAACUGCCGUUGACAAAACGGAGGAAGGUGGGAUGACGUCAAAUCAUCAUGCCCCUUAUGUUCUGGGCUACACACGUGCUACAAUGGCCGGUACAGACGGACGCAAAGCCGCGAGGUGGAGCAAAUCCUAAAAAAGCCGGUCUCAGUUCGGAUUGCAGGCUGCAAUUCGCCUGCAUGAAGUCGGAAUCGCUAGUAAUCGCAGGUCAGCAUACUGCGGUCGAAUACGUUCCCGGGCCUU
rnacentral:rRNA from 1 species